ensembl:lncRNA
CCCAGAGAGAGGCCAAAGGGAGGGAGGGGGGAGUCUGUAUUAAUUCCCGAGGCCCUCCCAAAGGAGGUCGAGGUUACCCCGGCUGGGCUGUGACCCUGGAAGGAAAGUCAGUUUCUUUCUUCUGGAUUCCAGAAAAUAACGCUGGUGUUCCUGCUGUCGACACCAGGCCCCUGCAAAAAGCCCUGGUGUUUCUUCUACUUUUCCAGCUUUGUAAAUGGCCAGCUACUACCCUGCACAGCCUCUGAGCUAUAGUGUCUUGUAGGAAAACGUGGUCCCUGCUUCCUCUUAGAGACAACAGUCUUUGAAAGUUUUGCCACAAGAAUUUUCCUUUAUGGGCAGAGAAUGGCAUAAACGCAUGUCCAUGGAAGACCCGAGUGAGAAAUCCUGUCACAGGGACAUCCCGUCCGAGGGACACCGCACACUUGAAUUCUCCUGUUGGGUCCCAGCGCCUUCUUCAUGCCCAGCUUGAUUGAAUUGUGGAUAUUCUGAGCACCCUUCCCCAUCAGGACUCAACCUUUGGGCUCCUCCCUCUGCCUCUGUUCCUCUUGUGUCUCUAGGUACCUGCUGGGUGGGACCUCAGACACCUCAUGUCCAGGAGGAUGUGUGACCUGCCUUUGGCGAGAGCGGCAGUCAAAGUCUCUCUCCAGUGCUACAUCUUGGCUGAGUUCCAGUCCCCACCUGCCAGGCUGACCUUAGGCAAUUUGAUUUAUGAGGGAGAAGACAAAGAAAAAGGGAUGAGAAAAGGAAAUAAAGUAAGACAACCCAAGCCAGAUGCCUUGGUCCCUCCCUCUCUCCCUGGUCAGGAAUAACAAAGGUGGCAACUGCCCCCGUUGUGGGAGCUACCAAAGGUGAGGUUUUUUAAGGUGAGGUUUUCUGGCCAGGGAGGAGCUGCUGGGGUUGGUGAAGCCUGCAAUGUGGAUGGCUGCCCCACCUACUCUGUGGGGACAUCCUGACUGAAGCUUGACGAGUCCUCAAGUGGCUGCUCACCCCUCCCAGCUUGGUGAUGCUCAAAGCAUCUGCCACAAAGCUUUUCUUUAAGGAGCAUGACAAUAGUACAAUGAGAGAAAAACUGUCAGGCAUGGUAGCACAUGCCUAGCACUCAGGAGGCUGAGGCAGAAAUAUUUAAAAGUGAGAUUGGCAAGAGAAAGAGAGAGAUUGGAAAAACUCUUUCUGGGUUCUCAACCAAAACCAGCUAUUUAUAAGUCCAGAAAAAUCCAAGACAUCAAGUGACCCCCAUUCCUGCAAAUGGGGACUGUGCUCACCUUCCUGAGGGACUGAGAGGUCCACUCGGGCCCAGGGGGCACUCUGCCCCCAUCACUUACUCUAUGGAGAUCCAGCACCUUCCUGGGGCCACAAGUGCUACCUUCCUGCCUGAGGAGCAGGACAACAGGGACACCCAUAUCAACAGGGACGGGGUGGGGGCUUUGUAGCAGCUUCGCUACAUAGUUCUCAUUCAGCCACUCGGGGACAAGUCUAAGGACAUGCUCGGGGCUGGGGACAGAACUGACCUCCCUGGUUCUGGCUCCACCUGGACUCCUGGGGAAGCCCCUGUCCCUGGAAGGGGUAGGGAGCCUCCCCCUGAAAAGCACCCGAGGAGCAGUUUCGCCCCUUUGUGAAUGAGCUCUCCAAGCACUGGGCUGAGUCACUGCCCUAUGACACAGAUCACGUGACUUCAGAUUGCUCAGAAGUAUGACUGGCACCCUGGCCUCCGCACCCUGAGGGGCUCUGGGCGAGCCGCUGUCAGCACAGAACAAGGAGCCCAAGCUCAGCCUUCUGGUUUUCUAGCCACCUCAGUCAGCUCCCACCUUUCAGAGCCCUGUCCGAACAUGGCACAUUUCCUGAAGGCAGCUGGAGGUGACCUGGGGUGGCUGUGUGGUUUUAAUGACCUUUGCACCUUUCUCUAGAAGGAGCAAACCCCCUAGCAGGUCUCCCUGUGGGUCAGAAGGUGGGAAGUGUUCUCACAUGGGAGUGGGGACGUCAGACCCCCUCUAUCAGCCUGCUGGUGGCACCAAUUCCUGAGCUGAAGGCACGAGGCUGGACAAGGGUCAGUCUCGGCCUUGGGUCUCCCCAGCCACACCCAUGGGCCCCACGGGAACAUCCGCCUGGCAUCCCCAGCCUGUCUCCUCAUGCAGGAGUGAGCUGCUGCUUCUCAGCCACUGCGCCAGCUGGAAUCCAGGCAGCUGGUAGCUUGCCAGUGUCAGGCUAAGGCCUGAGUCAUGGCACUGUCACAGCCCUCAGUGGAGGACUGACCCACAAAGGAAAUUACACAGCACUCCACGGCCUGUGGCGGAGGCAGGGGCUUUUCCAAGAGUGGCUGCUGGGAAGACAGAGAGCAGUGUCAGAGCCCAUUGGAGGCUAAGGCUGAGGGGAGAGGGCUGGUGGUGCGGCUCCAACCAUCUGUGACAGAACUGUGUGCUCACCGAGCCAGCCUUGAGCCACACAGUCCCAGCUGCAGCCCCCGGCCUCUGCACAGGUGUUCACUCAGAAUCCACACUGGGAGUAGGAGUAGCAUGCCGAGGGACCCUUGGUCAGAAGGACUACCCCUCUCAGCUAGCUAGAUUCUGGACACUAAACUCUUACUGGGCUCAGUGAUGCCUGUCUAGUCCCAGCCACUCAAGAGGCUGAGGCAGGGGGACUGCUUGAGCCCAGGCAUUUAGGGCAGUCUAGGUAACACAGUGAGACUCUGUCUCUAAAAAAAAAAUUAAAAACUAAAUUAGGCCAGGUGUGGUGGUGCACAUCUGUAAUCUCAGCACUCAGGAAGCUGAGGCAGGAGAAUUGCUGCAAGGCCAGCCUGGACUACACAGUGAGUUCAAGUCCAGCCUGAAAUACAUAUUGAGACCCUGUCUCAAAAAUAAAUCAAUUAUUUAGCUUGGUGGCACCACACCUGCCUUGCAAGUGCAAGGUCCGGAGAUCGAUCCCUGGUACUGAGAAAAAAACCCCACAAAAAACCAAAAAAAGGGCUGGGGAUUUACCUCAGUGGUUCCACUGCCUGCUGCACAAGUGCAACGGCCCCAGUUCAAUCCCUGGUAACAAAAAAAAAAAUCAAUCAAUCAAUCAAUGGGAACUGGGGGUUUGAUUCAGUGCAAAGGCCCUGGGUUCAAUCCCCAGUACCGCUCCCCAAAUUGAACACCCUGUGCCUCGGUUUCCUCAUUUGUAAAACAGGUGUUGAAAUCCUACUGGACAGGCUUGUGGUGAGGAUUCAUAGAGUAGACGCCAAGGGCCUGGCCUGGGGCUGGCACCGAGUAGGUGCCCUGUACAUGUUCCUUGUUCUCUCUACUCUGCUGCAAACCCCAGGUUGACACCAACCCUCAGGCUCAACCCUGUUUUUCCCUGUCCUUCCCCGGCAUCCAGCCCCUCUUGCUUCAUGCAAAUGUGUGGCUGGACGAGGAAACUGGGUUCCUCGUGAUUCAUCUGGGUAGUGUGAAGUCGGCUGCUCAGACACCACAAAGGGCAGACCACCGAGACGGACUCUUUGCACCCUGCCCUCACUGAACACAGCUCUGUGUGUGUGUGUGUGUGUGUGCACGCGCGCAGAAGCAUUCACUGAGCACCUACUGUGUGCCUAGCUGGGCUAGGGCCUGCACACUUGGCACUUGCUUACUUGGUGUGAUUUGCAUGGCUUCUCUGCGUCAUUCAGCGUGGCUUUCACAGAGUGCUCUCAGCCUGGGUGGGGGUGGAGAUGGCUCUGCUUCUAUUUUUAUCUUCCCAUCAGAGGGUGCUGUGCUCUGGGGCCCUUUGUCUCCCUUGGCACUUUCCCCUGCAUCCGGCAGCUGCAUCUGGAGGCUUUGGGUUUGCGAAGGGAGCAGUUGUUUUGCAUCCAGGCACCUCACCCUCCACCCUCUGAGCCCACUGUGAAGCCUCCUGGGCUGGAUUCAGAGACCCAUGAGUUUCCUGGAACCCAGGAGCCACCUGGGCCAGGACUUGUCCCCUGCCCUCUGCAGCCCCAGGGCUCACUGGGACUGAUGGUCCCCUCCUGUCACAGAGGGCAGCAGGUGUGGAGAUUGGACCAGGACUCUGCCAGCCCAGGCGCUCCCUGGGGACCUUGUACUGGGCUGCAGUUGAUUUAUUCUAGUCCAUUCCACUCCCAACUGAGCAUGAGAAAGUGCAGCUUGGGCUCGCAGGUGCAGCGAAGAUUCUAUACUGUGACUUUCCAUCUAGGAAGAACUUAGAGCUUUUCUGUGCAUGAUUUCUUUCUUCAGGAGCUGGGGAUCAAUCUUGGGCCUUGGGCAUGUUAAGCAAAAGCUGUACCACCAGCCACAACCCACCUCUCUUGCCUGUGAUCUUGUGCGUGUGUGUGGGGGGGGGGUACUGGGUUUUGAAUCCCGAGUCUUUACACUGAGAUACACCUCCAACCCUUUUUUAUUUUUUAUUUUGAGACAAGGUCUUGUGUUGCCCAGACUGGACUCAAAUUUGCAAUCCUCCUGCCUCAGCCCCCCGAAGUGCUGGGAUUAUGGGUGUGUGCCACCACACCCAGCACUGAGUACAUUCUAAUCUCAUUCAGAUCUACUUUUUUCCACCAAGUGCCACAGGACUGGUCUAGGUCUGGCGUUUGGGCUGGAGGAGGCAGGUCCCUGGUUCUGGAGACAUCCCUCCUCAGGGAAUGAAGACCAGGAGACCCAUGGCCCCACAAAAGGGCAGGCUGGCCAUGGACACUGAGGAAGAGGAACAGUUUUUGUCUCCAGCAGCUUUCCUUGGGAAAGCACUGUGGGCCUCCCUUGCUGGGCUGACCUUGGGAAACAACAUUUAAACACCAUCGUCCCAUGCACCAGUCAUGGCUCCUGAACUUUCCAAAGACAGACUCAUUUAAUCCCUACAAUACCCUGAGACACAGUAUUAUUAUUGCCAUUUUUAAAAAGAAAGGAUGGAGGCAGAGAGGAGUUAAGAGACUUAUCCAAGAUCACACAGCCAGGAAGUAUCCAAUAAAUUCGCUUUUCUUCAACUCCUUGUAGGCAGAAAAUGAGAUUGGUCCCUAAUGGUGUGCUCUGGACAUGGGUUCAGGUACCCUCAAUUCUGCUUCCUCACUCUUCUGCUUUAAAAACAAAAGCAAACUUUUCUUACUACGUGCAAUCAUAGGUGGCUUAUUUAAUUUUCUAGAAGCAAAACUCCUUUAAUAUUUAUGGUGUUGGGAUGAGAAGCAUUUUUAAUACCAUUUUAAAGUAAUUUCUGCCCAGUGAUGUUUUCCUUCAGGUGGAACUCCGUACGGAGUAGGGACAGGGACAGAGUUGCUGAGCAGGGUCAGAGCCGCACUCUGUGGCCAUUCCAGGGACUUCCUGGAGAGAAGGCCUGGCUCCAACAGCAGGCAGAGGUGAUGUGGCUGGGGACAGCCAGCCCAGACCCCAAGAGAGGGGAGCCUGCCCUCCACAAAUAGGUCCAGAGAUGCAGGACAUUUUAGGGUGACAAUUUUUAACUCAUGGGACAUCUGGAUGCAGCUAUUUUUAUACAAUUGUCUUUCAACUUCAAAAUUAAAACCACUCAAACAUUAGCUAGCUAUGCCCUGUCCCUGUCCCUGCAGUUGUGCCUGACGCAUGGGGAACUCCUGAGUAGAUGGCUGGAGUGGGGACAUGAGGCCGGGCUUCGUCACUCAACUCCCUGUGGGUUCUUUCAGGGUGGCUGCGGGCCAACUCUCUAAAUUACCAUGCCUGUGUGUGUGUGCCUCUGUGUGUGUGUGUGAGUGCGCGUGCGUGCCUGUGUGACACCUGCCUGUUACACUAGCGAUGUUCCCAAGAGUUAUUUCAGGUCCUCUCCUCCUCUCCUUACACGGCUCUCCGUGCCUGCUCCAAAGUGGCCUUCACAAAGUCCUCCAUCCUGGAUUCCCAGGAAGACCCCAGCUGGGUGGAUUUAAAGGAAGGGAUGCGGGCAGCAUCCCUUAUCCUGGCGUGUUCCUCCCAUGGUGGAGCCAGAGCCGAAUGAGACCUGAGCCAGGUCCUGCCCUGGGCACCAGGAUACUCAGGGCCCCCUGAGCUCCUCCUUCCACCGGCCCUGCCAAUGGGUGGCAGGUAAAAGGCCCAAGUCCUACCCAGCCCUCUGAGGAACCCAGAGCAGUAGGGAGAGGUACAUUUGGGGACCUGUAGAGAUGCUCUGGGACUCAGAGUCUGUCAGCUUUCAGAGAAACAGAAAACGCUCUCAGCUGGUCUGCACUCAGUGAAGAUGGCUGCACCGACAGCACCCUGUUGGUUCACCGAGGUGGGUGACUCCUGCUCCGUCCUCUUCCCCAGGGGCACAGGUGUGCAGCCCUGGGUCAAGGCAGGGAUUGCUGCAAAAAAGCCUGGACUUGGCAACCUCUAGGAGAGAUCGGGAGCUUCCUCUAACUCCCGAACCAUGCAGAGUUCACAGGCAUGUGGCGUAGUCACAGGCCUCUGUGGGGACAAAGGAUGAGUAAACUCCUGGCCCUUUAAUUUCUUAUUCAUUAAAAGUAUGAUUUGUGCUGGGCAUGGUGCACACCUGUAAUCCCAGAACUUGGCCAGCCUGGACUACAUAAAUAAAUAAAUAGUAUGAUUUGUGUUUUCUUCUGAGACAGUCAGGGACUGUACUUGAGCCUAAAGUGCCUGGUAGGUACCUGUAAGUAGAACAAACUUGACCUCACUGUGUGUCCUUUAUUACCUGAAAACUGGAUACAGAUGUAUUAUCAUUUAAGAAAGUCAGCAGAAGAGGUUAAUUAGGCCUGAAUUUACCUAGCCUAUCUCAUCCCCUCCAAGACCAAGGGCUCCAAGAUAAGCGUAAUUCAUUGUCAGGGUUCACAGAGAUGUCUGACCACCAGCUCUUACAACGUUCAGUCCCAGAUCUCCUGCCCUUUGGAGUGACACCUAGACGUCCCCAGCCAUUGAUCCAGACCUGUAGUCAUCUGGGUCCCCCAAAAAGAAGAGCCUCACAGGACUAAAUCCACCACAAACAGAGGCAAUCCUUUUAUGGGACUGGACCCCCCUCUCAAGCCAGGAGGGUUUGGGACCCCCUCCCAGCCCAGCACCCCAUAAAACUGGUGCCAGUUCCUUUGUUGGCAGCCAGUCUGAUUCUUUUCAUCAGAGCGAGCCCCCUCCAGCAGCUCAAGCUGGAUCCCUUUCCCUCUUUUUCUCCUACUUUCCAAUUAAAGCCUUUACUGUAGGUUCAUACUGUUGCUUUAGUUUUGAUUUCCAUUAUCUCUGAAGUAAGGACUUAUGCCCGCUGGUGACACAAGGCAGGGGCAUGAGGUGGAAGUUGCUCAUGAGUUGCAGAGCUGAGUCCAAGACUCUUGUCUAACCUUAUCCUUCUGAGCUCUUUUCUGAGUAGCUUCUGUAGCCAUUUGCUGAAGGCCUGGAGUCUCAGGUCACUGAUGAUUUGCUGGAAACUGGCUGUUCAGAAACAUUAAAGAAAGUAAAUACCGCCUGCCUAAUGGCCCCUGUGGAGUGAUUAUUCUCCUCUCUGAAAUCCUGCCUCUCAGAUCUUCCCAGUACCCUCUAAUGUUGCCAGUCAUCUCUAUCAACCCACAUUUUCCAUGUGACCUCAGUAUUCCUUCUACUGUACCACACAGACUCCUCUGCAUUUUCCAUCUCCCUGCUCACUCCCAGCAGAGUGUGUUGGAUGUGGAUUGGCAUUGAUUUUAGGACAGAAGCCACAGAAAUCCCAGGCCUGGGAGUGGAGAAGGCCUGCACUCCUGGGCCACCCAGCUGGGACAAGGAGUUCUUGAUGCUGGAUUAGAAGGCACUGGCUAGGAUUGUUUUCUGAAGCCAAACAGACAUGAAGGCUUUCCUCAGUACCAACACAAACACCCAAAAGAUUUCCUAUCCCUCCCACUACCCUACAACUAAUAUUAAUGAUUGUACUAUUGAGUAUAUCUUUUGUCAUUGUUUGUUUUUCUCUUUUGGUGGUGCUGGAGAUCAAACCUAGGGCCUCCCGCUUGCUAGGCAAGCUCUCCACCACUGAGCAGUACUCCAGCCCAAUAGCUGUAUUAUUGAGAGCUUACCAUGGGCACCAAUUUGUGUUACUUAUUUCAGUGACAUAGAUAGAAAUCCAGGCGUGUGGG